UACGAAGGGGGCUAGCGUUGCUCGGAAUUACUGGGCGUAAAGCGCGCGCAGGUGGUUUCUUAAGUCUGAUGUGAAAGCCCACGGCUCAACCGUGGAGGGUCAUUGGAAACUGGGGAACUUGAGUGCAGAAGAGGAAAGUGGAAUUCCAAGUGUAGCGGUGAAAUGCGUAGAGAUUUGGAGGAACACCAGUGGCGAAGGCGACUUUCUGGUCUGUAACUGACACUGAGGCGCGAAAGCGUGGGGAGCGAACAGG
rnacentral:rRNA from 1 species